rnacentral:lncRNA from 1 species
AUUUGUGUGAUUCUUGUAUACAUCUCAUCCAUGGAGGGUUCAGGUUGUUUUUCUACCUCUGUAACAAAAGACGAAUUGUAGUUUUAAUAUAGCUAAGAAUAGUAAAGUAAUAAAAUUAUUUAAUUUAGCAAAAAUAAUUUACCUUGACAAUUAUUCAAGGAAGUUUGAUGUCGUUGAUCUAUAAUCUGUUUAUCCAUUGUAGAAAUCCUGUAUAAUGUAAGACAAAUUUUAGUGUGCAGAUAUAAGCAUAUCAUGAAUUAUAUUAUUAAUGUAUAUUUAAUAUAGAUCUCUAUAAUUAUGUAUUAUUUUAUAUGCUUAAAUCUUUAUGCUACUUUAGAGACAAAAGUAUUUGUGCAAAGGAAUGUGAUUUGUGUAGAACAAUAGAAGAAUAAUGUAUAGUUUAGGAAUAAACCUGAUGUUUAAAAACUGCUCCUCUUCGUGGUUGUGUUAUGUUUUGUGUUAUUUUGAAUCAUCCUCCCAUCUUCCUUGUAUGGUGUAUUUCUUGAAUUUAUAUGGGUAAAUUGAAUAUUUGUUUGAAUCGCUGGAGAUCUUGAAAAAAAGAUGUGUAUCAACAAUUUGAAUGAGAAUAGGAGGAUGAUUAGGAAUUUAUUUUAUGUUUUUAAUAGGAAAA